rnacentral:rRNA from 1 species
UACGAAGGGUGCAAACGUUGCUCGGAAUGAUUGGGCGUAAAGCGUCCGCAGGUGGCAGUUCAAGUCUGCUGUCAAAGACCGGGGCUUAACUUCGGAAAGGCAGUGGAAACUGAACAGCUAGAGUAUGGUAGGGGCAGAGGGAAUUCCUGGUGUAGCGGUGAAAUGCGUAGAGAUCAGGAAGAACAUCGGUGGCGAAGGCGCUCUGCUGGACCAUAACUGACACUCAGGGACGAAAGCUAGGGGAGCGAAUGGG